rnacentral:rRNA from 1 species
AUUGAACGCUGGCGGCAGGCCUAACACAUGCAAGUCGAGCGGUAGCACAGAGAGCUUGCUCUCGGGUGACGAGCGGCGGACGGGUGAGUAAUGUCUGGGAAACUGCCUGAUGGAGGGGGAUAACUACUGGAAACGGUAGCUAAUACCGCAUAACGUCGCAAGACCAAAGUGGGGGACCUUCGGGCCUCAUGCCAUCAGAUGUGCCCAGAUGGGAUUAGCUAGUAGGUGGGGUAACGGCUCACCUAGGCGACGAUCCCUAGCUGGUCUGAGAGGAUGACCAGCCACACUGGAACUGAGACACGGUCCAGACUCCUACGGGAGGCAGCAGUGGGGAAUAUUGCACAAUGGGCGCAAGCCUGAUGCAGCCAUGCCGCGUGUGUGAAGAAGGCCUUCGGGUUGUAAAGCACUUUCAGCGGGGAGGAAGGCGUUAAGGUUAAUAACCUUGGCGAUUGACGUUACCCGCAGAAGAAGCACCGGCUAACUCCGUGCCAGCAGCCGCGGUAAUACGGAGGGUGCAAGCGUUAAUCGGAAUUACUGGGCGUAAAGCGCACGCAGGCGGUCUGUCAAGUCGGAUGUGAAAUCCCCGGGCUCAACCUGGGAACUGCAUUCGAAACUGGCAGGCUAGAGUCUUGUAGAGGGGGGUAGAAUUCCAGGUGUAGCGGUGAAAUGCGUAGAGAUCUGGAGGAAUACCGGUGGCGAAGGCGGCCCCCUGGACAAAGACUGACGCUCAGGUGCGAAAGCGUGGGGAGCAAACAGGAUUAGAUACCCUGGUAGUCCACGCCGUAAACGAUGUCGAUUUGGAGGUUGUGCCCUUGAGGCGUGGCUUCCGGAGCUAACGCGUUAAAUCGACCGCCUGGGGAGUACGGCCGCAAGGUUAAAACUCAAAUGAAUUGACGGGGGCCCGCACAAGCGGUGGAGCAUGUGGUUUAAUUCGAUGCAACGCGAAGAACCUUACCUGGUCUUGACAUCCACAGAACUUUCCAGAGAUGGAUUGGUGCCUUCGGGAACUGUGAGACAGGUGCUGCAUGGCUGUCGUCAGCUCGUGUUGUGAAAUGUUGGGUUAAGUCCCGCAACGAGCGCAACCCUUAUCCUUUGUUGCCAGCGGUCCGGCCGGGAACUCAAAGGAGACUGCCAGUGAUAAACUGGAGGAAGGUGGGGAUGACGUCAAGUCAUCAUGGCCCUUACGACCAGGGCUACACACGUGCUACAAUGGCAUAUACAAAGAGAAGCGACCUCGCGAGAGCAAGCGGACCUCAUAAAGUAUGUCGUAGUCCGGAUUGGAGUCUGCAACUCGACUCCAUGAAGUCGGAAUCGCUAGUAAUCGUAGAUCAGAAUGCUACGGUGAAUACGUUCCCGGGCCUUGUACACACCGCCCGUCACACCAUGGGAGUGGGUUGCAAAAGAAGUAGGUAGCUUAACCUUCGGGAGGGCGCUUACCACUUUGUGAUUCAUGACUGGGGUGA